rnacentral:rRNA from 1 species
UUCCGGUUGAUCCCGCCGGACCUGACUGCUAUCGGAUUGAUACUAAGCCAUGCGAGUCUUUGCAGUAAUGCAAGGCAUACGGCUCAGUAACACGUAGUCAACUUACCCUAUGGACGAGGAUAAUCUCGGGAAACUGAGCAUAAUACUCGAUAGAUCAUAAUGCCUGGAAUGGUUUAUGGUUGAAAUGAUUCGUCGCCAUAGGAUGGGACUGCGGCCUAUCAGCUUGUUGGUGAGGUAAUGGCCCACCAAGGCGAUUACAGGUACGGGCUCUGAGAGGAGAAGCCCGGAGAUGGGUACUGAGACAAGGACCCAGGCCCUAUGGGGCGCAGCAGGCGAGAAAACUUUGCAAUGUACGAAAGCACGACAAGGUUAAUCCGAGUGAUUUCUGCUAAAGAAAUCUUUUGCAAGUCAUAAAACCACUAGUGAAUAAGGGGUGGGCAAGUUCUGGUGUCAGCCGCCGCGGUAAAACCAGCACCUCAAGUGGUCAGGAGGAUUAUUGGGCCUAAAGCAUCCGUAGCCGGCUCUGUAAGUUUUCGGUUAAAUCCAUGUGCUCAACGCAUGGGCUGCCGAAAAUACUGCAUAGCUAGGGAGUGGGAGAGGUAGACGGUACUCGGUAGGAAGGGGUAAAAUCCUUUGAUCUAUCGAUGACCACCUGUGGCGAAGGCGGUCUACCAGAACACGUUCGACGGUGAGGGAUGAAAGCUGGGGGAGCAAACCGGAUUAGAUACCCGGGUAGUCCCAGCUGUAAACGAUGCAGACUCGAUGAUGCAUUGGCAUAUAGCCAGUGCAGUGUCGCAGGGAAGCCGUUAAGUCUGCCGCCUGGGAAGUACGUACGCAAGUAUGAAACUUAAAGGAAUUGGCGGGGGAGCACCACAAGGGGUGAAGCCUGCGGUUCAAUUGGAAUCAACGCCGGA